rnacentral:rRNA from 1 species
UGCCAGCCGCCGCGGUAAUACGGAGGGUGCAAGCGUUAAUCGGAAUUACUGGGCUUAAAGGGUGCGUAGGCGGACCGGUAGGUGUGCCGUGAAAUCCCCCGGCUCAACCGGGGAAUGGCGGUGCAAACCAUCGGUCUUGAGGCAGGUAGGGGCCGUCGGAACGUUCGGUGGAGCGGUGAAAUGCGUAGAUAUCAGGAGGAACACCAGUGGCGAAAGCGGCUCACUGGACCGUAACUGACGCUGAGGUGCGAAAGCUAGGGUAGCGAACGGGAUUAGAUA